AGACUUCUUGCUCCUGCAACAAGUGUAUGUGUGUAGAGCAGAUCACAGGGGAAGGUAGAAACAAAUGCCCAAUAUAAAUAGGCAUUCAGCAGAAGAGGACACCGAUGCAGAGAAAAGAGAACUUCCCUUCAUGAUGCUAUGCAAUCCCCAGGAGAAGCACGUUGAAAGCUGAGAAUCCUUCUUGGCACUGGGAAUACAGAGGUGAUGGGCAGGAAAAUUCCCUGAUUUUAUAGAGCUUAAAUUCUUGUAGGAGAGACAGACAAUAACAAAAGAAGACUGACUGAGAUGUGUUGGCGGGCUUCUCAAGAUCCCUAUCGAUGGCAGAAUGCUGACAUGAGUUGCCCAUAGUCCAGGUACACUG
rnacentral:lncRNA from 1 species